GAGAGGGAGAGAAAUUCUGGGUCUAGAAAUUUCGAGCUUCUCUGUCUUCUCCAUCGGUCUUUCUCAUCCUUCCUUCUCCAAUGUUCUUCCCGUGUCACCGGCGAUCGUGGAUGCUCAGCACUGCCUUGCAAAAAUGCCCAGUGUGUCUCUGUAGGUGCUGCCAUUAGCGAGUCCUUCUUCAUGCUCUCUGCCUCUGUUCCUUUUCUUUUUCGUGCUACUGUUCUAUCUUGCUGUGCACAUCUGGGUCGUUGGCUGAUGGAAGAAAUCAGGUCGCUGGAGUGGGUGUACUGAUCGCCAAUCCGAAUCAGCGCUGAGUUCCUUUUUCUUCUCCCCCUUGGUUUCUUCCUCCUUUAUUUUGUUCGUUUGUGGUUGGGAAGUGAAGGAAGAGCUGAUAUGGUGCUGUGGAAGGAUUAAUUUGUGGGUUGAGGCAGAAAUAUUGCUAUAUUCUUCUUCCCCUGUUCAGUUGUGGAUUCAGUUUUCUUCCUCCCUCUGUGUGUGUGCACUGUCGGCUAACUAAGGAUGCUAAGAGAAAGGAGGAGUUGAUUGAAGUUCUAAGAAAUGAAUUUUGAUGCUCGGGCAUAUUAUAGAUAGCAUAAUUGACGCUGUACGUCUUACUUACCAAUGACGGAUGUUUUCGGAGUGGAGGCUUGCUUUGUAAACAUGGCUUAUUGAUGUAAAUAUGAAAUUUAUGUAUUAUGUCAUGAGAUAUGAUUAGGUGCUCCACAUAACUUAUAAUUAAAAUCCUUAGUUUAUUAUACAUUUUGUUUGCUGGCUUGAAGGAGCCGAGUUCUUGAUAGAUAUAAUGUUUGAGGAAAAUUUUUAUGAUACAGAAUUUUUGGUAGAUCUUAUUUACAAAGAUGGUUCUGUUAAAAUUUUUACGAGAUGUUGAAAUAAUUAGUAGUAAUAGUAUUAAAAUGUUAGUGAAUAAUUGAGUACUUUUUUGUAAUUAAAUGAAAUAAACCUUGAAUUUGUGGCUUACGGGAUGUAUGUGUGGUUCGCAUCCUGUGCCGGUCACCUCCUAUUUUGGGGUGUGGACAUAAUUGAGGAUCCAACUUCUCCUUUUUACUUGUUGUUGUCGUGACUGUACGAGAAGGAUAGAAAUUAAAUUGAAGUUGAAAUUCUGGUUUAGUGCUAUCAUGUGAAAUGUCGAAGAUGAUGCUUUAAUUUUCUAAGUUAAGAUUGAUUUAUUCAAUGAAGAGAUUGGAGUUAGGAAGCUAAUUUACUUAUUUAUUUAUACAUUAGAGAAUUUUGGGAAAUAGAAUAUAAGAGAAAGAAGUUGCUUGAGCUUGAAAAAAAAUUUAAAAAAAUUAGUACAUAUUUUUUUUACUUUAUUAAUCCUUGUGAGUGAUAUAUCCAAGUUGAGUACUAAUGCUCUAUGAAAUUAAGUUGGAGACCCCAAAUGAAAUUUGAGCAUGAGAUUAAUGUCAAACUAUUUGAAUUCUUGAAAAAAAAAUUAUAUGGUUGUGGAUGAAUUGUGUGAUAAGAGAUUGGAAUUUUAAAAGACCUUAUGAGGGGGUUGAAAAUGAUACAUGGUUGGUGUUUGACAAAAAAGAUUAAGUGAAGAUGGUAAUUUAAUGGAGUGUUGAGCUAUGGCUUUUGAAGGAUUUUAUGUGUAAAGUUUUCUCUUAAAAUUUCAAAUUUACUAUAGCAACAUUUUGAUAGUAGAGAUGUUGGGAGAAAAUAAUUGAAAUUAUAUAUAGUUUAUUUUAAAAACAAUCUAAUUUUAAUUUAUAGGAUAUUUGGAGGAGGAGAAAUUUAAUUGAUAUGGAAAGGUAAAUCCUUGAAUUCAAGAAAUUUUAAGUAAGUGGAUAGCGUCCUAACUGAUAUUUCACUAAAAAUUUCCUUCAUUAAAAUAUUAUAUUUUUAUGCAAAUUCUUUUUUUUACAACAACAAUGUGAUUAUUAGAUAUUUUAUUGAUUAAAUUACUUUAUUUCAUGAAAUUAUUUUUCUAGAAUUGAUUAUUUUAGUUAAUCAGUAAAUAUAAGUUUGGAUUUUACUUAUGGGAUUUCAUUCUGAAAUUAUUGAACUACUUUAGAAAAAUGAUUCAUGCGAGUUUAACAUUGAAAAUGAAAAUUUUAUUUUAAAAGUGAUAAUUUUCUUACAUGUUUGAAAAUAGAUUUGAAGGGGGACCUUAUACAGAACAUUAGUUGCUAAUGGCAAUUCCGUUAACCCUUGGCGUGCCAUGGUCAAUGACUAACUAGUUUGACUUUUGUGAGUGUCGCACUCACAUUUGUUGCUCGUGGGUCUAAUACUCGCAUUUGAUUUCGUGGCUCCGAGUCGCA